rnacentral:rRNA from 1 species
CCUAGCGUUCAGAAGUGAGAAUGUUGACAUGAGUAGCGACAAAGAGGGUGAGAGACCCUCUCGCCGAAAGUCCAAGGGUUCCUGCUUAAAGCUAAUCUGAGCAGGGUAAGCCGGCCCCUAAGGCGAGGCCGAAAGGCGUAGUCGAUGGGAACCAGGUUAAUAUUCCUGGGCCGUGAGGUGGUGACGGAUCUCGAAGGUAGUUCAUCCUUAUCGGAUUGAAUGGGCUGCUCAGAGGUUCCUGGAAAUAGCCCCUCUAUAAGACCGUACCCUAAACCGACACAGGUGGACUGGUAGAGAAUACCAAGGCGCUUGAGAGAACCAUGUUUAAGGAACUCGGCAAAAUACCUCCGUAAGUUCGCGAGAAGGAGGCCCGUUCGGAACGCAAGUUUUGGGCGGGGGCACAAACUAGGGGGUGGCGACUGUUUACUAAAAACACAGGGCUGUGCGAAGCCGUAAGGCGACGUAUACAGUCUGACGCCUGCCCGGUGCUGGAAGGUUAAAGGGAGAGGUGCAAGCUUUGAACUGAAGCCCCAGUAAACGGCGGCCGUAACAAUAACGGUCCUAAGGUAGCGAAAUUCCUUGUCGGGUAAGUUCCGACCUGCACGAAUGGCGUAACGACUUCCCCGCUGUCUCAAACAUGGACUCAGCGAAAUUGAACUGUGUGUCAAGAUGCACACUACCCGCGGUUAGACGGAAAGACCCCAUGCACCUUUACUCCAGCUUUGCACUGGCAUCAGGAUUGUGAUGUGCAGGAUAGGUGGUAGGCAUCGAACCCGGGACGCCAGUCUCGGUGGAGCCUCCCUUGAGAUACCACCCUUCGCACUCUUGAUGUCUAACCGCGGUCCGUCAUCCGGAUCCGGGACCCUGCAUGGUGGGGAGUUUGACUGGGGCGGUCGCCUCCCAAAUCGUAACGGAGGCGCGCGAAGGUUGGCUCAGACCGGUCGGAAAUCGGUCGUUGAGUGCAAUGGCAUAAGCCAGCCUGACUGCAAGACUGACACGUCGAGCAGAGACGAAAGUCGGCCAUAGUGAUCCGGUGGUCCCACGUGGGUGGGCCAUCGCUCAACGGACAAAAGGUACGCUGGGGAUAACAGGCUGAUGAUGCCCAAGAGUCCAUAUCGACGGCAUCGUUUGGCACCUCGAUGUCGGCUCAUCUCAUCCUGGGGCUGAAGUCGGUCCCAAGGGUAUGGCUGUUCGCCAUUUAAAGAGGUACGUGAGCUGGGUUUAGAACGUCGUGAGACAGUUCGGUCCCUAUCUGCCGUGGGUGUAGGAGACUUGAGAAGAGUUGCCCCUAGUACGAGAGGACCGGGGUGAACGGACCACUGGUGGACCAGUUAUCGUGCCAACGGUAGUGCUGGGUAGCUAUGUUCGGACAGGAUAACCGCUGAAGGCAUCUAAGCGGGAAGCCCCCUUCAAAACAAGGUCUCCCUUGAGGGCCGUGGUAGACCACCACGUCGAUAGGCCGGAGAUGUAAGUGCAGCAAUGCAUUCAGUUGACCGGUACUAAUGGCCUG